UACGAAGGGUGCAAGCGUUACUCGGAAUUACUGGGCGUAAAGCGUGCGUAGGUGGUUGUUUAAGUCUGUUGUGAAAGCCCUGGGCUCAACCUGGGAACUGCAGUGGAAACUGGACGACUCGAGUGUGGUAGAGGGUAGCGGAAUUCCUGGUGUAGCAGUGAAAUGCGUAGAGAUCAGGAGGAACAUCCAUGGCGAAGGCAGCUACCUGGACCAACACUGACACUGAGGCACGAAAGCGUGGGGAGCAAACAGG
rnacentral:rRNA from 1 species